AUUGAACGCUAGCGGGAUGCCUUACACAUGCAAGUCGAACGGCAGCGCGGACUUCGGUCUGGCGGCGAGUGGCGAACGGGUGAGUAAUGUAUCGGAACGUGCCCAGUAGCGGGGGAUAACUACUCGAAAGAGUAGCUAAUACCGCAUACGCCCUACGGGGGAAAGGGGGGGAUCGCAAGACCUCUCACUAUUGGAGCGGCCGAUAUCGGAUUAGCGAGUUGGUGAGGUAAAGGCUCACCAAGGCGACGAUCCGUAGCUGGUUCGAGAGGACGACCAGCCACACUGGGACUGAGAAACGGCCAAGACUCCAACGGGAGGGAGCAGUGGGGAAUUUUGGACAAUGGGGGCAACCCGGAUCCAGCCAUUCCGCGUGUGCGAUGAAGGCCUUCGGGUUGUAAAGCACUUUUGGCAGGAAAGAAAUCGCACGGAUUAAUACUCUGUGUGGAUGACGGUACCUGCAGAAUAAGCACCGGCUAACUACGUGCCAGCAGCCGCCGUAA
rnacentral:rRNA from 1 species